AACCAAUGGCGAAGGUGUGUUGCACCCUUGGGAUUUCCUGAGAGUAUGUCUGCUUCAGUGCUUAA
rnacentral:rRNA from 9 species